ACGAACGCUGGCGGCGUGCUUAACACAUGCCAGUCGAACGGAAAGGCCCUGCUUUUGUGGGGUGCUCGAGUGGCGAACGGGUGAGUAACACGUGAGUAACCUGCCCUUGACUUUGGGAUAACUUCAGGAAACUGGGGCUAAUACCGGAUAGGAGCUCCUGCUGCAUGGUGGGGGUUGGAAAGUUUCGGCGGUUGGGGAUGGACUCGCGGCUUAUCAGCUUGUUGGUGGGGUAGUGGCUUACCAAGGCUUUGACGGGUAGCCGGCCUGAGAGGGUGACCGGCCACAUUGGGCCUGAGAUACGGCCCAGACUCCUACGGGAGGCAGCAGUGGGGAAUAUUGCACAAUGGGCGGAAGCCUGAUGCAGCAACGCCGCGUGCGGGAUGACGGCCUUCGGGUUGUAAACCGCUUUCGCCUGUGACGAAGCGUGAGUGACGGUAAUGGGUAAAGAAGCACCGGCUAACUACGUG
rnacentral:rRNA from 1 species